rnacentral:rRNA from 1 species
AAAUUGAAGAGUUUGAUCAUGGCUCAGAUUGAACGCUGGCGGCAGGCCUAACACAUGCAAGUCGAGCGGAAACGAGUUAUCAGAACCUUCGGGGGACGAUAACGGCGUCGAGCGGCGGACGGGUGAGUAAUGCCUAGGAAAUUGCCCUGAUGUGGGGGAUAACCAUUGGAAACGAUGGCUAAUACCGCAUGAUGCCUACGGGCCAAAGAGGGGGACCUUCGGGCCUC